GACGUAGGGUCCAAGCGUUGUCCGGAUUUACUGGGCGUAAAGAGCGCGUAGGCGGUCUGUUAAGUGUAGAGUGAAAGCUCCGGGCUCAACCCGGAAAUUGCUCUGCAUACUGGCAGACUUGAGGAUGGAAGAGGUUUGUGGAAUUCCUGGUGUAGCGGUGAAAUGCAUUGAGAUCGGAAAGAACACCAACGGCGAAAGCACUCUGCUGGGCCGACACUGACACUGAGAGACGAAAGCUAGGGGAGCAAAUGGG
rnacentral:rRNA from 1 species